CACACACACACAUGUCUCACAGCAAGGUCGAUUGUCAUCACAAUGGAUUAAUGUCUGAGGAGCUGCAGGGAAAAGACAGCGGAGCUGGCUACACUUACCGCUCUGUCAGAGCAAGUCCGGAAGAGAGAGAGAGAAAAGGGAAAAGAGAGCGAGAAAGAGGGAGGAAUGCACAGCGCAGGACAUGGGUGACUAACUAAACCCACUCAUACAGAACGAGAACCUUGGCUGAUCUUUACAAUAAUCAGUGAGAGCAAGGGAAUGCCAAGCCAGGGCCAGGAGGAACCUUCUCUGUUCUCCUGUCUCUUCUCCACUUCCCCAAAAGCAACCGAGGGCCAUUUUUCAAGGGGGAAAUGAUUCAGGAGGAAGUGGGAAUUGAGGAGAUGAGGUCUGGAGAGUCUGGAGAUUCUCACGCUUCAGGUAGAAACUUCUACCUAUUCUGAUUGGCACAGUUGACGUUGGGUUUUGAGAACUUUAGCUCUGAAUAUAAAUGGGGAAGCUUAAGACAGACAAAAAAGAGGAAUCUAAGGCAUAUCUUUAAGUGAAUCAGGCGAUACAAAUUGUGACUGCACAUAUUAUCAUCAGACAGAAUGACAGUGAGGUAGAUAGAAUGAAAGGGAGUGAGUGAGAUUGAAACAGAGAAUGAAAAAGAGAGUAAGACGGAGUGAGUGAAAGUAAGAUGAAGAGAAAGAAAGUGUAAAAGAGAGAGAGAAGUUGAAGAGAGUCAGAGAGAGAGACCAGUUAUAUGGACUUCAGACUCCCACAGGCAUAGAAUCACAAACAGACUCACAGACAGACAGACUGACAGACAGAGACUGAAAGAGACUCAUAGACAGAUACUCACAGGCAGAUACUCACAGGCAGAUACUCACAGGCAGAUACUCACAGGCAGAGACUCACAGGCAGAUACUCACAGGCAGAUACUCACAGGCAGAUACUCACAGGCAGAGACACAGGCAGAGACUCACAGGCAGAUACUCACAGGCAGAUACUCACAGGCAGAUAUUCACAGGCAGAGACUCACAGGCAGAGACUCACAGACACAGAGACUGAAAGAGACUCACAGGCAAGAGACUCACAGACACACCGACAGACUCACAGACAGAGCCUGAAUCCCCCUGCUGGAACCUAAUGGCUACUACACCUAUCACAUGCUGCCCAAUUAACAGUCCACAAACAGAACCAAACUAACCAGAAAGACACGUAGAUUAGACAUGCUUUGACAAUUAGUCCUAUAUCUGGAGCUACAUCUAUUCAGAAUCUAGACUUAGUCACCCCACCCCAUCAAAAGAAUACCAUAUCUUCAUAUUUCCCAAAUUAAAAGAAGUACAGCCAACACUCAAUUCCAUCUGGAAUGAAUGACCCCUAUAAGAAUGGUUUUAUCUGACCUACAAAGUCCCCAACCUCUACCUGCUUAUCCCUCCCUCAUCUGUCUUUAGUGCAACAACUCCUGCUGACCUCUGACCUCUGCUGGCCUCUGACCUCUGUGUUCCCAUCUCCAUUAGAGGGCUUUAAUACAUGGAUGGUGCUUCUGCUGCUCUGGCCUUCCUGGGGCUUAGGCUACUGUGCAUUUUGAAUAUUAUGUGUGGAGAGAGAUGGUGCUUUGCAUUCAGACUUAUUGCACUGCCAUACAUUGUGUUUGGACACAGGGAUUGGGGGAGGGGGGGAUUGGGGUGUGAGAGAGGGAGACAAGUAACACACACACUUAAAAGUAUAUAUAUCUGUCAUUUUUGUUUCUCGGGCGACGCAUAUGUUAACUAUGUGCCCCCUGUCGUCUGGUGUUCGAGUACAGUAAUCGUGUGCAGUGUCGCAAAUAAACAUGCACACAGACACCCACAACCACCUAAAGGCAUUAAGUUGCAAGGUGGUCCGGUGGAGUCUUGCGCGUAACAGCAGUGUGUUUAGUCAGCCUUUAAACAAUAUGCCAGGCCACAGGAGAGGUCAGUCACACCAGCGUAAUGCAUGCUGGCGCAACAACGCCCUCCAAAGGACACUAUGGGAACUACAUCCAGCUUGUCCGCAAAUGUAUAUUUUCUUCUGUCAUUUUAAGCAUUCAAAAUAUGUAAAAACAAUGGAUGACAGUAGUCGUCUUUCAUCAAUAGUCACAAAAAAAUGUUGGUCUUCUGUGCAUCUGUUACUAAGUUUAAUUCUGCGAUAAGUGUGGGUUCAAAUCUUGUUCAUGUUAUAAAGACAUCAAUGAAAGACAACUCUCAAGGCACUCAUAGCAAAACUACAUCUCUUAGUGUGUGUAGAUUGCCUUUUAACAGGCUAAUAAUAACUAAACAUCUUUUAAAUUAGCAUGCCCUUGCAAAGCUUGACAUUCAGAUUAAUUUGCCAGAGGCACAUCAGGCCAGUGCCAACUGAAAGCUACUGGCCCGAAUGAAAAGAAUACUGGUCUAGGAAAACCUAUAUCCAAUAAUGACCUACCCUCUAUACACAAAUAACUACAUUUUAACUUGACAAUAUCAUAUUUACAUUGGAGGGAUAAAAUAAAACAAAACAAUCCAUCUCAAAAAGGGUGUUAUUGUUUCGAACUGUUGUAAGGCCCUUUAAAAUUGGUUUUAUCUUUGGGUAAAUUCAGUUUUCAGAAAUACAUUCUUUCCAAUUUCCUCGUUUUCCUCUUAUUUCAGGUUUUCACUCUCAAAAAAAUCACACUUUUUGUAGAAAAAAAAACAUGCUUAAACCAUGCCAGGAGACCACAUUUGAGGCCUGGGAACAAUAAAAUAAAAAACAUUUGGAGGGUGCAGUUAUCCUUUAAUUUAAUUUCACCUAGCAAGAGACCGAGCUACAUGUGAUGGCAGAGUUUGCAAAACAAAUGUCCCGCAAUUGAUACAAAUCAUCAUCAUAUAAUUUUGCCAGGUAGGCCUAUAAUUGGGAAGGUUUUUUGGGAAAGCCUUAAGAAAUGUUCAUAGAAAUUGAUGAUUGAUUUGAAUUGAUGAUUGAAUUGCACCUCGCAAAGAUUCAACCAAGACUUCGGACCAAACAUUUUCAAUACCUGGUCUACAUGUAACAGUAUAACUUUAGACCAUCCCCUCGCCCAUACCUGGGCACGAACCAGGGACCCUCUGCACACAUCAACAACAGUCACCCACGAAGCAUCGUUACUCAUCGCUCCACAAAAGCCGC